rnacentral:RNase_P_RNA from 1 species
GCAGGCAGAAUGUGGCUGCUCUGUAUCCAAUUGUCGGAUGCGGGGAGGAAAGUCCGGGCUCCAGAGGAUAACGUAACGGGUAAUUCCCGUCUCGUAUAUGUAAUGUAUACGAAGGAUUUUCCGUUAAAGUUUAACGGAACCGACACGAUUUGUGGCGGAAGAGCCACAGAGACGAGUAGCAGCUUGAAAAAGCUGCGAGGUGAAACGCGGCAAUCUCUACGUGGAGCAAGGUAGAAUAGGAGAUGAGUGCUGAUCCAGCGCGAUUCCUGUUUUUAAACAGGAGAUAAUCUCGGGUAAACUGCUAAAGUUACCGUGGUAACGCGGGAAUUGAGAGGAAUAGCCACUAAUCGAUGCGCGAAUUCGCAUCAAGACAGAACCCGGCUUAUUCUGCCUGCUUUU